AAUAACAUAGAAUUUGGAGAAAGAAGUGUGUUACAUAACAAAUAACAUGGAAUUUAAAGAAAAGUCCAGCAGAUGAAAGAGAGAUGCGGUGGAAGUUUCGAUAAAAUGGAGAAAUAUCCAGAAAUUCAGCAGAUGAGAAGUAAGAUGCGAGAGGGAGAUGAUACAAAUGAAUUUAAGAUUCGGCCAUUGAAGGGGCUAAGCCACCCUUCUGGAAAUUUGCAGAUGCAACGCUUCCAGGAAGAUAGAAGAGAGAGAAUCCACUCAAUCAGAAAAAGAGAGAAUCAAGAUGGAAGAUUAGAUCUGAUUGGAGUUGUGGGAGAGAUAACGGUUGUGGUUUGAUGGUAGUUGACUAGUGACGGUUGUGGUCUGAUUGAUGUUGCGGAUGGUGGUGGAAAGUGAAUGGGUUUAAGAUAGAUGAUGUUGUUUACGAAGAAGAAAAGCUUAGGAAAGUUGUCUUCACAAUGAAAGGCUAAAAUCGUCAAAUUGGGUAUAAAAAAAGUUUGCAUGCCGAUACUGUUAGUCCAAAGUUACUUUCUUAAUUUUUUUACAGUCAAAGGUUAGUUUGUAUAUACACUCAAUAAAAAAAGAUAAAAUAAUGUUUUUUUAACAAUAACUUAGUAAUAUUUUUUAAUCAUUUAUAAUUUUUUAUGUGAAUAUAUGUUUCUUUUCAAAGAUUUAUGAAGGACUACUAAUUCGAAAACACUGAUUCCAGGUGUAGUCCCUCUCUCUUGACU
rnacentral:sRNA from 1 species